UACGUAGGGUGCGAGCGUUGUCCGGAAUUAUUGGGCGUAACGAGCUCGUAGGCGGUGUGUCACGUCGGCCGUGAAAACCUGCAGCUUAACUGUGGGCGUGCGGUCGAUACGGGCAUCACUGGAGUUCGGCAGGGGAGACUGGAAUUCCUGGUGUAGCGGUGAAAUGCGCAGAUAUCAGGAGGAACACCGGUGGCGAAGGCGGGUCUCUGGGCCGAUACUGACGCUGAGGAGCGAAAGCGUGGGGAGCAAACAGG
rnacentral:rRNA from 1 species